rnacentral:rRNA from 1 species
UUGUUGUGGUUAAAAAGCUCGUAGUUGGAUCUCGGCGGACUGAGGGCGGUUUGCUUGCUAGUAUUACUGCCCUAUAGUCCGUAGUUUUGCCAGAGGUUUCGGGGUGCUCUUAAUCGAGUGUCCCGGGAUGCUGGCAGGUUUACUUUGAAAAAAUUAGAGUGCUCAAAGCAGGCUAUUACGCCUGAAUAUUCGUGCAUGGAAUAAUAGAAUAGGAAGUCGUUUCUAUUUUGUUGGUUUUCGGAAAUCGACUUAAUGAUUAAUAGGGACAGUCGGGGGCAUUCGUAUUCAAACGACAGAGGUGAAAUUCUUGGACCGUUUGAAGACAAACUACUGCGAAAGCAUUUGCCAAGAAUGUUUUCAUUAAUCAAGAACGAAAGUUAAAGGUUCGAAGGCGAUUAGAUACCGCCCUAGUUUUAACCAUAAACGAUGCCAGCUAGCGAUCUGCGGACGUUUUUUUUGUAGACUCCGCAGGAAGCUUCCGGGAAACCAAAGCAUUUGGGUUCCAGGGGAAGUAUGGUUGC